AGAUUCUUCUUGGUUUCUCUCUGGAACAUUCCUUCUUCCUGGGUUAGGCAGGACCCCUUCAGGAAUGAGGUGUUAUGAUCUAUCAGGUGAAGGACAUGUUUGCUUCCCUUUCCACCAUGAUUGCAAGUUUCCUGAGGCCUCCCUAGCCAUGCUGAACUGAAAAGAAGAAAGCUGAAAACACACUGAGGAUUAUGGGAGAGGGGCAAGUGCAUGAAGCUUCUCAAUGACAUACAGACACUCUAAAAGCUCAAGAGAUCAAUUAUUCAACUUCAAGAACUGAAAUUUGAACACAGAUUUUGAGCUUCCAAAUCAGGAGAAAAAGAAGUGUUCUAUAAGAAGUUUGGACAAGACUCUGCAAGAAGUUAAGAGCAGGUCCUUAAAGGCAACUGUGAAUUAACGGAGACUAGUUUUGAGAAAAUCAGUCCUGAUUUGUUUCUCCUGGAGUUUUCUUCUUUAUGUGAUCCUUCAUAAAAGCUGCUAAUAUGGGAAAGAUUGAAAUCAGCAAGUUUCUGGCUGUAAGCUAAAAGAGGCUCUUGAAUCAUAUUUCCGCCUGCUUAGCAAAUUUCUCUUGCGACAAUUGGAUGUUAUUUGGGGUUCCAUACUAGCAGGAAGAAGUACAAGCAAAGCUAAGUCAUUUUGAGAAUAAAUAUUAUCUCUCUAUA
rnacentral:lncRNA from 1 species